ACGAAGGGGGCUAGCGUUGCUCGGAAUUACUGGGCGUAAAGGGAGCGUAGGCGGCCUUUUAAGUCAGGGGUGAAAUCCCGGGGCUCAACCUCGGAAUUGCCUUCGAUACUGGUUGGCUUGAGUAUGAGAGAGGUGGGUGGAACUCCGAGUGUAGAGGUGAAAUUCGUAGAUAUUCGGAAGAACACCGGUGGCGAAGGCGGCACACUGGAUCAUUACUGACGCUGAGGCGCGAAAGCGUGGGGAGCAAACAG
rnacentral:rRNA from 1 species